GCAUUCCUCACCUUUGCCGCCAGCCUGACUCUGACUGGCUGUUGAGGAAACUCCACUCUGCCAAUGAUUCGCCACACCAAGAAUUUAUCGCAUUUGAAAAAUGCUUCCAAGUGGUUCAGAUCAAAGAAGUGACGUUAGAAUGGAAUUGGAAAGCAGGAACAGGCAAGAUUCUAGUAGAAGUUAUUUUGAGAACCUCCCUUCUUUUUUGAUGAGCAAGAACUACCUCCUUGGUUUUUUCUAUGUAUGUAUGUUCUUGGCUGUGGACCGAAGGAUCUGCUGACAUUAGCCAUCUAAGCUGCCAAGGAAAUCCAGUACCACCCUCGUUUCAGAAAGAUCUGAGAGAUGAAACUUAUGGUUGUAGGUGAUGUCAGGAACUAAACUAAAGGCAGAAAGAAUCUGUACCUCAAGUAAAAGUGAAAUUUAUCUCCCAGGAACCAAGGAGGAGUUGGUGAUAAUUUUUGGCUUCUGUCUCCUGUGAUCACACUGCAACAUUAGGAUUCAGUUUAAGGACUUAUUUUUACAUAUUUUUAUUUAAACUUUUAUGUUUUUCUUCAACCCAAAUUUUAUUUUUAAUGCCUGUGAUGCUUUCUAUAUUAUUUCAGAUAUUUCAUAUCCUUAUUGUUAUCUCUGUGGGUGUCUCUGAACUCAUGAUUAGCAACCCUCAUGGGUGCUUCUGAUGUCAUUUAGCAACCAUGUGACAUCUUCCCCCAAAACCCAGUGGAAUACCACUUAUGUGAAUUGCGUAAGUGAUAUACUAUUCAGAAAGCCAGAUGUCACUUCCUCCAUUGGUAAAAAGGCACUCAUAUGAGCAGAAUACUUUAAGAUAUACUGAGACUGAAAUCCAUCAGUUAAAACAAGAAAAUGUCUUGAUGUGAAUGGACUAAUACAAGUAAAUGCCUUGUGGAUUGCAGCCAAGAUCUGAUUCAGGUUAUGCAUCACUAUGAUUGCCCCAAGCACUAUAUAUUUCUGGAUGGAAACAUUCUGAGUGGACUUCUGAAUAUUUUGCUUUUGAAAUGCAGAACGCACUUACAGAAUAUGAAUUGAUUCUCUUAAAAGUUUUAUUUAAUAUCUUAAGCAUUUAUAUAUGCCUAGGAAUUUAUAAAUCCAUUGUUCAUCCUGAACGUUCAAGAUAGGAUACAAGCCCCAAAUACACAAAUAAAAAUAUAGGUCAGAACAUGAUUUGAUAAGACCAAUUUUGGUAUCUAAUACACCUCUUAAACCAUUUACCCCUGUGCCCCCCCUUUAAAUUUACUCUCAACAUAGUAUAUGAAUAAAAUUUUUAUUUGUUUAAUGUGCACAUUUUCAUCUAUAAUUUCAUGUAUACUCACAUGUUAACAUUUUAUAAGUAACAUCAUACAAAUUAGAAGUGUUAUUUAAAUAAACUCAAUAUUUAACCCGUGUGUACAUUUAACACAUACUGUUUGACAGAGAGCCACACUCAUAUAAGCCAGUGCUCACAGUCAUGAUCUUUUAUUUUUCUUCCACUUUCAUAUGUUUUCAUUUACCUUCAUUUACUCUCUCACACACAGCCACACAAAAACAUUAUUAUCUUGUGUAUAUGCUAGUAUACACCAGUGCAUAUGUGAGUAGGUUAAAAAUGAAAUGAAAAGUGUGACUAAGUGUGUGUGUUUGUGAAAACUGACUUGAAAGUGAUUCAAACCCAGUUCAAAGAAAGCACCUGUGUUUGGCUUUUUCUAUAUCCUGAAUUUUCUUAAUCCAUUAUUAGGCAUCCAUGCUGCCCAUUUGCUUGGCCAAACCACUCUCUCGCUUGCCAGUCUCGGUUUGCCUCAGAAGCAAGUGAGUUUCUUUUAUUUCCAGACCUGUAGCAAGCAAAGGAAUUAUUCCAUCCAGGUGCAGUAUUUCCAUUGGUCUGGCCUUGUCUGUUCCAACGUAACACCUUUGAAUUGUGAGUGUGCAUGGUUGUAUGUUUUUUAAUAUUAUUAUAGCGAGUGUUACAUAUAUUACCAUUCUUAUAUGCUUACAUACAUUGAUGUUUACGAUCCAGCUUUAUAGAGUUUUUUCUUUGAUGAGAAAGAAAAAGAAAUGAAAAAAGUGAAAAAGAAUUGUACAUUGGUUGUAUGUUUUGAAUGAUUUUUUAUU